ACUCCGUUCUCAGUGAUGCUUCAUCAGCACCUUUUGAAGCACUCAGUCUGGUUUCAUCUUUUUCUGAUCCUCUCAAGGAACAUGCGAGCAACCUGUGUGAUAUGGACUCGUACGUACAUAGUAUGCUGCUUUAAUUAAUAAUGAUAUGAGGAAUUUAUAUAAUCUUAUUAAAUGACUGAUAGUAUGCUGUUUAAAUGUUGCUUUAGGAUGCAGUCUAGCAAGUGUGCAGCUGAAGACGUCCAAAUACCAGGCCAGCAGGUUUCUGAAAAGCAAGACUGCAGAAAAGAGCCAUCAGAAGCUUCUGAGGUCAGGAGUCCUGACAAACAUUACACCUUGUGUGUUCUCUGUUUGCUGAAGGAAAUGAACACCUUUGAACUAAUGUUUUCUGGCAGGAAUGCAGUGCUCCUCCAAAUCAAAGUGCAAAAUCAGAAAUUUCAGAUUCAGCUGGAGUGGAUACUGGUGCAGUUGGUAAUGGUGACAUGAAUGCAUGAUUGCAUUUAUUUAUUCAACAAAAACUGUAAUAUUGUGAAAUAUAAGAAUUCUAAUAUCUUGAUUUGGUGCUCUAGAAACAUUUCUUAUGAAUUUAAAAAGGACAAAAGAAUUUAACAUCAUAAACAUAUUUACUGGCCAUUUAAUGCAUCCUUGCUGAAUAAAAUUAUUUAUUUUAACGUUUUUUUUUUUCUUGUCAAAGAUAAACAGUCUGAGGAGGAGCCCACCUUUAUUUUAACUCUAUAUGAGAUUCCAGCCUCUCAGCUAUUUCAUGAGGCUGCCUUUGGGCCGCAGGGUACUUCCCCUUAUGAACUGCAGCCAGCACGAGUCCAGACACCCCUACAGUUGUCGAGCAGUUCACAUUUUCAUUCUGACACAUUAGAGGCUUCCAGUGCAUCUCUGCAUAUGGCAUCAGAAGAUCCAUGUAAAAGAAGUUUGCACAAGUUAGUGAAUGACUCCAUGGAUCCUCUUUUAAAGGAUGCAGUAGAUGGUGCCAGGACACAGUUGAUACCCUCACAGCCAACAGAUGUGCCAAAGUUGGAUGAGAUCCUGACAGAAUCCCCCAAAACUAAAGCACCCACUCAAAGGAGAUGCAAGAUAAAGGUCAAGCCAAACCUAAAGCCAGGUGUGACGGCUGGGCCUUCAAAACCCAGUCAGUAUCUACCACCAGCUCAAGCCACCACACAAACUGAGAUUGAGUCCGACCAGAAAACAUCUGCACAGGAUGUCCACUCAAGCCCUGAAGACAGUGAGAGAAGAGCACAUCCUGGACCUGACGCUGUGAUAUCAACAGCCAUUGUACCAGUCUUUGAAGAUAUAAGAGAUGAGAGUCAAGAGAAGUGGCAAAGUCCUCUCAGGACAGAUGAGGACUCUGUUGUUGACCCUCCAAUGCACAGUGCAUUCAGAAAGGAGUCUGAGGGGAACACUGAAGCUGGUUAUAAGGGUGUUUCACACAUGAGGUUGGCUGAUGUGGAAAGUCCUAAUGAUUGUGAGCUCAGAAAACCUGAGGACUUUUCUAUAUGUCUUCCAGAGAGUGAGGAAGCUCUUCCUGCAGUUAGUGACCAAAAGGAAACAAUGGCUGAUAUUGCUAAAAAGCCUGAAACAUCAUGUGUGACAUCAUCUGCAUCUCAAGAGAAGACUGUGCCAUUUAGGAGAGCCAAAUUGCAAGUGGAGCCUAAAAUCCCCAAAACAACAUCUACUAAAGAUGAUUUCCCAAGACAGGAGCAAUCUCACUUUGCGUAUAAUGAUCCAGCCACAGCUCCAAUCAUUUCACCAGCACCUCUGAUUAAAGAGGAAUCCAUUAAAGUGGAACAGGGGUCUGAUCAAGAAGAUUUCUCUGAUAUUCCAAAAGAGGUGUUCGACAGAGAGCCUGCUGCGAUUGCUUCAUCCUCACAACUUCAACAGAUUAUACCAUACAGUACAGCAUGCACUGUAUUGCAACCAGAGGAACUGAAAAUAGAGGAUGGGCUUGAGGAUGCUGCAGACGUGGUGUUGUGUGAUAUAUUGGUGCCGGUUUCUGCUGAAAUGGAAGAUGGUGAUCAUACAGCGAGUGGAAGUUCUGUCCAAAGUCUUCAGAUGGGUGAAGAGAGCCAGCAGGCCGUCGCUGCAGCAGCAGACCAGGAAGCUGUUUCACACAUGCUGCUGACUGAUAUAUUAAUCCCCGUCUGUGAGGAAAUGGAAGAUGAUCUGAGCAAGAAAAGGACAAUAACUGGAAAGAGAAGCCCUCUUGAGGCGGAAAGAUCUCAGGUGAGAGAGGAUCCAGAUGCCACACACCUGUCAUGUGCAGAGUCACAAUCCUCAAACAACGGACCAUCAGUAUCACCCAAGAGAAAAACACCCACUGCGGCAAAAGGCAAGUUAUUGGUAGAGAUGACAUUUGCCAAAAGGAAGACUGGAGAUUCCCCUACGAGUGUCAGACAAUCACAAACCGUUCCUUCAUCAACCUCAAUGUCAGAGUCAACACAAAGUCGUGAUGAGAUAUGUGCUGGCUUGCUGCCCACUGACUCAGAGGACUGUGAGGAGGCAUGUGGGGGUGUUUCUCACAUGGUGCUCUCUGAUAUUUUGGUGCCUGUAUUGGAUGAGACUGUAGAAAGUAGCCUUCACAAAGAAGCCUUCUCAGCUGGUCUUAACAAAGAUGCAGUCCGUGUCGAGAAGUCAACAGAUAUUGAAAGGGUAACAGAAGAGACGACUGCGAGUCGGUCUAUGGCAAUGGAAUGGAAAACGGCUGGCUGUAGGAAAGGAACACUGCAUAAAAUGCCAAAAUUAACAAAAAGAAAAGAUGACUCUUUAGAAACUGACCUCCGUCAGCCCAGCUCUACACAGACCCUUUCAGCUACACCUCAGCAGUCCCUGGACCCUCAAGCAGCAGAGUGGUCCCUCAAAAGCAAUAUGCUGCCCGUGGACUCAGAUGAGAUGGAGAACUGGUGUGAAGGAGUUUCCCACAUGUUGCUGUCCGAUCCAUUUGUGCCUGUUUCUGAAGAGACUGGAGAGAACUCAAGCAUUCCUCAUGAGGAAGAGCAAAUCGGUCUUAGUCCGACAAAGAGUGAGGAGAUGCCCUCUGAAAUUUCAAAUGAAGUACACCAAUUAGACACUACUCCUGACAUGCCAAAGACUUUGAAGUCAGAUGGGAGUCUUCCAGCAUCACGAGCAAAAAACUCCCCAACAAGAAGUCAGUCAUUCUUCAUAGAUUUUAUUUCUCUCGUCCCCGCUAUAUUUAGUGCUGUUGAUUUAAUUUUUUUAUCUUGUUUUGAUUUCUCUUAA
rnacentral:lncRNA from 1 species